rnacentral:misc_RNA from 1 species
GGUGCCAUUUUAUUUCAGCUUGUGACAGGAAAAACCCCAUUUACUGGAAACAAUCAAAUAGAGUUGCUGCAAAACAUUAUGAAGUCAACUGAAUUGCAAUUUCCUUCAGAUAUUAAGGAUUUGAGUGCUGACUGCAAAGAUUUGUGCCAGAAAUUGUUGCGUCGUAAUCCAGUCGAACGGUUAACAUUUGAGGAGUUUUUUAAUCACCCAUUCCUUUCUCAGAGGAAAAUAGAUCAAUCUUUGGGGAAUAGGACAUUUUUAAGAUCAGUUGACAGUGUUCCAUUGUCUGAAAGCAUUUCUGCAAGGAAUACAGAGAACAUUUCUCCGGAGGACUAUCUGCCUUUCUUCCUGGAUGAUGAUUCGAGCGGUCCUGAGGGUAGCCCUUCCUUUUCUAAGAGGAAGC